GCGGUGAGGGUGGUCUUGCCGUGGUCGACGUGGCCGAUGGUGCCGAUGUUGACGUGGGGCUUCUUGCGCUCGAACUUGCCACGCGCGGCCUUGACGGUGAAGGAGCGGCGCGUGAGGGUGUGGCGCGUGGUGGAGGGAGUAGGGGUGAGGUGGAGGAUGGUGGAGGGGUUAAGGAAGGAAGAGGAGAGAUGGGUGAGCUUGGAAGUGGGUCUAAUUGAGAAGGAACAAGGGUUUGAGGAAGGUGAGGAGGAGACAUAAGGGUAUGUGAGCUUAGAUGAAGCUGCUGCUGCUGUUGAGAUUGCCAUGGCUCUAAUUGGGUCUUCUUCU
rnacentral:lncRNA from 1 species